AUGGCAUUAUGAAUCCUACUAAAGCUAAUGGAGAUUUUAUUUUUUACAUAUAUAGCACUGAAAAUUUGCCCCCAAAUGUUCCUUGUGUUCUUUCCUCUUGGACUCCCAAGGAUUGCAUGAGAAAUUUUCUUUUUCCACUGUCCUUGAGAGUUUUUGAUUUCAUGAACAAAAAUGAGAAGGAUGACUGUAUCCCAUACAAGCAAGUAUGCCAGAGCAUUGCAAAAAUGGCAGCCAGACGGUGACCAUCAGUCCUGCAGCCAGACCUGCUGGAGUUCCUGGGCUUGGAUGGAGCUCUGAUAGCUUCAAAGAGAUCUAUCCAGUGCCAGGGGACACCCUUGUUUACAGAAAUACAUUGCGGCAUGCCAGUCUUCUUUUAAUGUAUCAUCUGUUAGAAAAGGCUCUUAAAAAGGAAUUUUCAAGUUCCAGAUGAAGAAAACUGCAGUUGUCCCAGUAACUUUACAAAACUGUUCUCUGAUCUUUUUCACAUGAAGAGAGUGAGCAGAAGUCACUGAACCAAUGACAUUUCUUAAGUGGGAGGAAUGUCUUACUUAAUAUCUACAGAGAAAAUGUUUCUUCCUUUGAUUGCACUUAGUUUCCCAGUAUCCAGCUGAGAGCUGUGAUAUAGGCAUUGAGGAGAGGGUUAAUCCUUUAAGAAACUUGAUGAUGAACAAUGUGAAGCUUUGUUUUCAUUUGAGAAAACUUCUUUAAAAAAAAAAAAAAGGAAAAAAAAAAAGUGCUCUUUCAGUUUCUGAAGUGGUUGCCAGGACUUUCUGUCCCAUGAGAAGGUAAGGUGGCAGCCACAUGACAUAUGGGCAGGAUUUUAUGAAUCCUACAAGAGGUUAGAGAGUCUGUCUCACUUUCAAAGAGAUGCCACUGUAUUUAUAAGAUGGCCUGUACCAAGGGAGAAUCAAACUGAAACAUGCAGACUUUACAUUCUGUAAUAGUUUGC
rnacentral:lncRNA from 1 species